rnacentral:rRNA from 1 species
UCUUCAGUAAUUGCGCAUGAACCAGGAUAUGCUUAGCUUGACAAAUGGAGCUGCUGGCUCUGAAUUGUAUUGUGGGAAUGUAUUACCAACAGAGGUGCAGGUGUCAGCCAUUUGAAAGAAAGCAUCAAUGAGGGUGAGAGUCCUGUUUGUCAUGUGCAGCCUUCUGUGCACGGUGUAUAUUUGCUGAGUCACACUCCUCGGCAUUGGAAUGCAAAGUGGGUGGUAAGUUUCAUGCAAAGGUAAAUAUGCAAUUGAGACUGAUAGCGCACAAGUACCAUGAGGGACAUAUGAAAAGGACUUUGAACAGAGAAUUAAAUGAGUUUGUAUUUGCUAAACACAAAGUAAACAGACUUGAUUUCCUCAGUGAGAUUGUAGUGCUUGCUUAACAAUGGGUUUUGGCUGCAAGUGCAAUAAUUCUUGCUUUGUGUGCCAGUUUUUAUGUGGACAUUUGAUUACCUUUGCACAUGAAUGGUAAUUUUCCUGCGGGGUGUGGAUUGCAUAUGCAUGUAAUGAUUUGCAUGUUUGUUAAAUGUGUCUGGUGUAUUUGUUUGUGUCCUUGUCCUUGAGGUUGCUUUCUCCCUUGGGCUUACAUGCCCUGGCACACACAUUCUGGCAAAAUGCUUCUGCUUGACCCGUCUUGAAAAUCUUCAGUAAUUGCGCAUGAACCAGGAUAUGCUUAGCUUGACAAAUGGAGCUGCUGGCUCUGAAUUGUAUUGUGGGAAUGUAUUACCAACAGAGGUGCAGGUCACACUCCUUGGCAUUGGAAUGCAAAGUGGGUGGUAAGUUUCAUGCAAAGGUAAAUAUGCAAUUGAGACUGAUAGCGCACAAGUACCAUGAGGGACAUAUGAAAAGGACUUUGAACAGAGAAUUAAAUGAGUUUGUAUUUGCUAAACACAAAGUAAACAGACUUGAUUUCCUCAGUGAGAUUGUAGUGCUUGCUUAACAAUGGGUUUUGGCUGCAAGUGCAAUAAUUAUUGCUUUGUGUGCCCGUUUUUAUGUGGACAUUUGAUUACCUCUGCACAUGAAUGGUAAUUUUCCUGCGGGGUGUGGAUUGCAUAUGCAUGUAAUGAUUUGCAUGUUUGUUAAAUGUGUCUGGUGUAUUUGUUUGUGUCCUUGUCCUUGAGGUUGCUUUCUCCCUUGGGCUUACAUGCCCUGGCACACACAUUCUGGCAAAAUGCUUCUGCUUGACCCGUCUUGAAAAU